AGGUCUAACAUUUAAGUCUUUAACCCAUCUUGAAUUCAUUUUUGUAUAAUGUGUAAGGAAGGGAUCCAGUUUCAGCUUUCUACAUAUGGCUAGCCAGUUUUCCCAGCACCAUUUAUUAAAUAGGGAAUCCUUUCCCCAUUGCUUGUUUUUGUCAGGUUUGUCAAAGAUCAGAUAGUUGUAGAUAUGUGGCAUUAUUUCUGAGGGCUCUGUUCUGUUCCAUUGGUCUAUAUCUCUGUUUUGGUAUCAGUACCAUGCUGUUUUGGUUACUGUAGCCUUGUAGUAUAGUUUGAAGUCAGGUAGCGUGAUGCCUCCAGCUUUGUUCUUUUGGCUUAGGAUUGACUUGGCAGUGCAGGCUCUUUUUUGGUUCCAUAUGAACUUUAAAGUAGUUUUUUCCAAUUCUGUGAAGAAAGUCAUUGGUAGCUUGAUGGGGAUGGCAUUGAAUCUAUAAAUUACCUUGGGCAGUAUGGCCAUUUUCACGAUAUUGAUUCU
rnacentral:lncRNA from 10 species